ensembl:lncRNA
CAACCCCGCCCCUUGCCCUAUGGCCGCCGCCAUCUUGGUAAGGGCAGGGUUCUUCCCAGCUUCCUUAGCGGGACGCAGGGGACCAAGACGCCUGGCUGGUUGCCGUGGCAACGGCCGCAUCCUCAGGCGGGGAGACCUCCAGCGAAAUUCAGUGGACUACAAACCUCGACAGGUUCCCUUUGACAUUUUCAGCACCCCGUGUUAGGGUGCUGUGACUCCUCAACUAGAAUGACUGUCCUGGCUGGAAGGAUCCUUCGAGAUGCCAAUCUAAUCUGAGUUUUGCAGGCCAGGAAACUAAGUGCCAGUAAGGGGAAGAGAUUUUGUCCAGAGCCUUCUACAGUUGCAAUAAGAUCCAGAUCUCAACCCUGAGACGCCUGCCCCCUAGUCCAGCGCCUUCUAACACCUGCACAUCUCUGUCCUGAGGAGCUGCCCCCUUGGGAUCACACGGAAGGUCACAGCCCUUGUGUACCUGAGGUUCUGAAAAUGCCAUCAGUGCUUCGCAGCCGACAAGUCCAAAUCUCCUCUCCCCACCAACCUCUGCUGCAGCAUUGUGUAUAGUAAGUUCCCUGGAGGGGUUGGGACUCCCAGAGCCCCAGCCCUAGCAUCUGCCUCAUCCAGGAAGCAUGGGACCAGGCCGGUCCAGAUUCCUCCAGGGGCAGUGGAGGAAGGAGAGAUGCAGAAAGGAUUAUCCACAUAUCCUAUGCCCUGAUGGGAGCCCCACCCUCUCCUUCAGGAGCUAUGAGUGUUGGCAGUUGUGCAGAGUAACACAAUAGCAACAACUUUUCCAUGUACCCUUGGCUCCGCCAUUAAGAUUACUUUCACAGGAUUUCAAAGUUCACCUUGAUCCUAUGAGAGAAGAGCAAGUACUGUCAGCUACAUUGUGCAGGUAAGGAAACUGAGGCUCAGAGAGACACUGCCCCUUGUCUCCCAGGUGGUUGGUAGCAGAGCUAGGGCUGGUAUUUCCAAGUCCUAUUUGCAGGCCAGAAUUUCUAUUCUAAAAAUCAGCAGUCUCCAAAGCCAGA